rnacentral:rRNA from 1 species
UACGGGGGGAGCAAGCGUUGUUCGGAUUUACUGGGCGUAAAGGGCGCGUAGGCGGCGCAACAAGUCACUUGUGAAAUCUCCGGGCUUAACUCGGAAAGGUCAAGUAAUACUGUUGUGCUAGAGUGCGGAAGGGGCAACUGGAAUUCUCGGUGUAGCGGUGAAAUGCGUAGAUAUCGAGAGGAACACCUGCGGCGAAGGCGGGUUGCUGGGCCGACACUGACGCUGAUGCGCGAAAGCCAGGGGAGCGAACGGG